rnacentral:lncRNA from 1 species
CCUAGGUUUUAAGGCUUGCAUGAGUUCCAUAGGUAAGUACCCUCCCCACUGAAGUUUGGUUGGUUCAACCUGUCCUAGAAUAGUAACCGGGUUCUAAAAGGAUCUCAAAUCAUCGACCUUUCCUUAAGUCCACUUCAGUGCAACACCAAGUGGUUGACCGAAGCUUCCCUAAAGUCCAAUCUCAAAGAGUGUAGUAUCGAGUCUCAACCAACCCCA